UACAGAGACCUCAAACGUUGUCCGGAUUUAUUGGGCGUAAAGGGUCCGCAGGUGGCUCGGUGCGUCUUGCGUUAAAUGUCGGGGCUCAACUUCGACACCGCGCGAGAUACGAUCGAGCUAGAGGCUGGGAGAGGCACACGGAAUUGCCGGUGUAGUAGUAAUAUGCGUUAAUAUCGGCAAGAACACCAAAUGCGAAGGCAGUGUGCUGGAACAGUUCUGACACUCAGGGACGAAAGCGUGGGGAG
rnacentral:rRNA from 1 species